ACUCGCGAGAGUAAGCUAAUCUCUUAAAGCCGUUCUCAGUUCGGACUGUAGGCUGCAACUCGCCUACACGAAGUCGGAAUCGCUAGUAAUCGCGGAUCAGCAUGCCGCGGUGAAUACGUUCCCGGGCCUUGUACACACCGCCCGUCACACCAUGGGAGUUGGGGAUACCCGAAGCCUGUGAGCUAACAGUAAUGAAGCAGCAGUCGAAGGUAGAAUCAAUGAUUGGGGUGAAGUCGUAACAAGGUAGC
rnacentral:rRNA from 1 species